CCACCGAGAUCUACACUCUUUCCCUACACGACGCUCUUCCGAUCUUGUAAGUUUAGGUAGUUGGUGGUGGUAAAAGCUCACCAAGCCAGAUCUUUAGUUGAUUUGAGAGAAUGGUCAACCACAUUGGGUCUGUAAAAAGCCCAACUUUCUUUUUGAUAGCAGCAGUGAGGAAUAUUGGACAAUGAGCGGAAGCUCGAUCCAGCAAUGUCACAUAAAUGAUGAAGGUUCGAUGAAUUGUAAAGUUUAUUUACUAAGGAGGAUGAUGACGUUACUUAGUAAAAAGCCCCGACUAACUUCGUGCCAGCAGUCGCGGUAAAACGGGGGGGGCAAGUGUUACUCGUCGUGAUUGGGUGUAAAGGGUACGUAGGUCGUUUUUUUAAUUAGGUAUUAAAUGUAAAAGCUAAACUUUUAAUAAGUAUACUAAUAUGAUUAAACUUGAGUCUAGAAAAGGAUAGUAGUAUUUUUAGUGGAGAGGUAAAAUUCGGAGAUAUUAAAAAGACUCGCACUCGGCGUAGGCGACUAUCUAGGCUAGUACUGACACUGAGGUACAAAAGUAUAGGGAGCAAAUAGGAUUAGAGACCCUAGUAGUCUAUACUGUGACCGAUGAGUAUUAAAUGUCGGUAUUUCCGGUAUUUAAGCUAACGCGUAAAUACUCCACCUGGGGACUACGACCGCAAGGUUAAAACUCAAAGGAAUUGACGGAGAAUUGAACGUGUGGUGGAACAUGUGGUUUAAUGCGAUAUUACGCGCAGAAUCUUACCAGUUUUAGCGGAACAUGAAAUAAAAUUCUUAAUAGAAUUUUUAAUAGUAUAAAAUAUUAAUAUAUUUUAUAUACUAAAUAUGUACCACAGGUGUUGCAUGGUUGUCGUCAGUUCGUGCCGUGAGGUUUCUGGUUUAGUCCUGGAACGAACGUAACCCCUGCACUUAAUUUUGUAAAUAGAAUUUUAUGUUUUUAAGUGAAAUGUUAAUGAAAUAUUAAAGGAAGGGAGGGAUGAUGACAAAUCUUUAUGGCCUUUAUAGACUGGGCUACACACAUGUUACAAUGGCCCUAAACAAUGAGAGGCAAAAAUGUAAAUUUAAGCAAAUCUUUAAAAAGAGGUCUUAGUUCGAAUUAUUGUUUGGAAGUCAACAAUAUGAAGUUGGAAUCACUAGUAAUCGUAAAUUAGAACGUUACGGUGAAUUUGUAAACAAAUCUUGUACACACCGCCCGUCACGUCAUGAAAAUCGGAGAUCGGAAGAGCACACGUCUGAACUCCAGUCACAUACUGAAUCUCGU
rnacentral:rRNA from 1 species